AUUGAACGCUGGCGGCAGGCUUAACACAUGCAAGUCGAGCGGGGUGAUGGUGCUUGCACUAUCACUUAGCGGCGGACGGGUGAGUAAUGCUUAGGAAUCUGCCUAUUAGUGGGGGACAACAUCUCGAAAGGGAUGCUAAUACCGCAUACGUCCUACGGGAGAAAGCAGGGGAUCACUUGUGACCUUGCGCUAAUAGAUGAGCCUAAGUCGGAUUAGCUAGUUGGUGGGGUAAAGGCCUACCAAGGCGACGAUCUGUAGCGGGUCUGAGAGGAUGAUCCACCACGCUGGGACUGGGACACGGCCCAGAGUCCUACGGGAGGCAGCAGUGGGGAAUAUUGGACAAUGGGGGGAACCCUGAUCCAGCCAUGCCGCGUGUGUGAAGAAGGCCUUAUGGUUGUAAAGCACUUUAAGCGAGGAGGAGGCUCUUUUGGUUAAUACCCAGAAUGAGUGGACGUUACUCGCAGAAUAAGCACCGGCUAACUCUGUGCCAGCAGCCGCGGUAA
rnacentral:rRNA from 1 species